UGUGCUUGAACGAUGGGAUAGGCUUUCCC
rnacentral:piRNA from 1 species